CGCGUAGGCGGGUCAUCAAGUCCGGGGUGAAAUCCUCCAGCUUAACUGGAGAAUAGCCUUGGAUACUGGUGGUCUCGAGGGAGGUAGGGGCGGGUGGAACUUCCGGUGGAGGCGGUGAAAUGCGUAGAUAUCGGAAGGAACGCCGGUGGCGAAAGCGACCCGCUGGACCUCUUCUGACGCUGAGGCGCGAAAGCCAGGGGAGCAAACGGGAUUAGAUACCCCGGUAGUCCUGGCCCUAAACGAUGGGUACUAGAUUGUAGACUAAACAUGGGUUUACAGUCGAAGCAAAAGUGUUAAGUACCCCGCCUGGGGAGUAUGGUCGCAAGGCUGAA
rnacentral:rRNA from 1 species